CGCACGUAUUGGUUCGUGUUAAGGCGGUAGCCGUUUGCAGUGACUUUACUGGUCGUGAAGAGGAGUCGAUCUAUUUGAUUGUUUGUUCAAGGCCCUGCUGGUCAUUGACACAGGAGCUACAAAGGGCCUUUGAACUGGUUCCCAGAGAGAUGUUGGCGGAUGGAGGGUUUGGAUCCUGCCGCAUCACCGAGCUUACGCCACACAACCUGAACACACAAAGCAAACACACAGUUGGGUGAAUCUUAUGGCUAUAUGGAAUCUUGAAAAAUGAAAAAUAUCUUCAAAUGAUUUCUUCAAUGUUACCAUACAAUCCUCCUCGUAGUCCUCUGGGAGCUUCCUGUCUAGGUUUUCGUGGACUUCUAAUACCUAUAAAGCAAAGGAACAGAGGGUUAAACAAGUAAUGGUAUCCGGUGACGGGGGACAGUAGAUCACCUCCUGGCAUCCGCGUAGAUCCCUGUAGACAGAUGGACACCCAUUCGUCACAAUCAAAAAUCACUCAUACUGCUCUCUCAGUUUACCAGAGGAGAUCCGAGCACUGGAAAAGCCCAUGGCUGUUUCUCUGAGUCAACUCAGGCUUGAAAUGGGUUAAAGCAUCUCAUUAUAACUCAUCUCUGCUUGGACCCCCUUCAUGGGUACGCAUCAACAAAGAGUUCUUUCAGUGCACAGGGUCUGGUGAGCCCCUGUUUAGACACAGCCCUUUGAGUCCCAUUCUAGCGUUAAAUCCACAACAAUUGAGCUGGCAUUUCAACACCAGGGUCGGGAGAGGACCCCUGGAUAGAAACUGUGGCUCGCUUUUGGCCUGGGAGAACAGGACUGUGAUGUUCACUUGCAGUUGCCAGCAGGUUUAUUAAGGGCUAGAGCCGUGGGGAUUUUACCCUGGACUGACCCGAGUACAUCCUGAAACGAUGGCCGCUGUCAAGCAUCGCCCCAGCAGUCUGAUUAGAGAAGCACACAAUUCAUUCUGCAUGGAUUCAUUUGCCAUGCAGUGCUCGAAUUACCUGGGUUAUUUUAAUAGCUAAUGCCAAUAUCUAUUCAGGGCCUUAAAAUUCUCAUAUGAUAAAGUUGUAUAAACUAUAUUGCAACAUGAGAUUAAAUGUAAGCGAUUUAAUUCCCAUAAAAUGUAAUUUUAUCAAAUAUAAUGCAAAUUAAUAGCCUACUAUUAAAUAGUAAGAAGAAAUUGUGAUGAGUGGGGCAGGGGCGAGAGCCGUGGGAACGGAGCGAGGCCUG